rnacentral:rRNA from 1 species
AUUGAACGCUGGCGGCAGGCUUAACACAUGCAAGUCGAGCGAGCGGCGGACGGGUGAGUAAAGACUGGGAAACUGCCUGAGGGAGGGGGAUAACUACUGGAAACGGUAGCUAAUACCGCAUACCAUCAGAUGUGCCCAGAUGGGAUUAGCUAGUAGGUGGGGUAAUGGCUCACCUAGGCGACGAUCCCUAGCUGGUCUGAGAGGAUGACCAGCCACCCGGGAACUGAGACACGGUCCAGACUCUUACGGGAGGCAGCAGUGGGGAAUAGUGCACAAUGGGCGCAAUCCUGAUGCCGCCAUGCCGCGUGGAUGAAGAAGGCCGUCGGGUUGUAAAGCACUUUCAGCGAGGAGGCGUUACUCGCAGAAGAAGCACCGGCUAACUCCGUGCCAGCAGCCGCGGUAAUUC